GUGGAUUAGAUACCCUGGUAGUCCACGCUGUAAACGAUGUCAACUAGCUGUUGGCUUUAUUAAUAAAGUUAGUAGCGCAGCAAACGCGAUAAGUUGACCGCCUGGGGAGUACGGUCGCAAGAUUAAAACUCAAAGGAAUUGACGGGGGCCCGCACAAGCGGUGGAGCAUGUGGUUUAAUUCGAUGCAACGCGAAGAACCUUACCUGCUCUUGACAUACAUCGAAUUCUGUAGAGAUAUGGGAGUGCCGAAAGGAACGAUGAUACAGGUGCUGCAUGGCUGUCGACAACU
rnacentral:rRNA from 1 species